GAGUUUGAUCCUGGCUCAGAGCGAACGCUGGCGGCAGGCUUAACACAUGCAAGUCGAGCGGGCGUAGCAAUACGUCAGCGGCAGACGGGUGAGUAACGCGUGGGAACGUACCUUUUGGUUCGGAACAACACAGGGAAACUUGUGCUAAUACCGGAUAAGCCCUUACGGGGAAAGAUUUAUCGCCGAAAGAUCGGCCCGCGUCUGAUUAGCUAGUUGGUGAGGUAACGGCUCACCAAGGCGACGAUCAGUAGCUGGUCUGAGAGGAUGAUCAGCCACAUUGGGACUGAGACACGGCCCAAACUCCUACGGGAGGCAGCAGUGGGGAAUAUUGGACAAUGGGCGCAAGCCUGAUCCAGCCAUGCCGCGUGAGUGAUGAAGGCCCUAGGGUUGUAAAGCUCUUUUGUGCGGGAAGAUAAUGACGGUACCGCAAGAAUAAGCCCCGGCUAACUUCGUGCCAGCCGCCGCGGU
rnacentral:rRNA from 1 species